UCCUUUCACAAAACGCGGUUCUUCUCUUCUUCUCCACCUUCUUCAAUUCUCUGAUCUUCUCAGUAUUGCUAUUCAAUUCACAGUCACAGGGUCACACCGACCUCGCAAUUCUCUGUAAUCCACCGGCGAUGACCCCAAUCGACAAGAAAAACCACCAAUGCGAACCUCCUCACCGGCAAAGAAAAUCUACAUCCCCUUGAGUUCAUCUUGUCCAAAGAAUGUAAUUAAUCUCUUGGGGUUGGUCUUCUGUAAUCAAUAUUUACAAAAGUGGAUUAAAGUGAAGGAAUUCUAGUACCUUUUCUCCUCAACAACUACCCUAUACACACUACCUAGAUGAGGAGACUACCACAUCUGGUGCUCUAGCAAGAGGAGUUUACUUGGCAAAGCUCGGGUUUUCAAAACUCCAAGGGAGGGUCCCUUUACCAAAGAGGAGUUGGAUGAAGUUCGAGACAAGUGGGCUACUUACUUCAACGAUUGUGAACUACCCUCAGUGUAAUAAAUAGAGCAGCCUUGUAGUUAUCCGUGACUCUUACAUUACAUUUUUAUUUAUAGAUUUAAUUAAUUGCAUUUGAAUUAAUUCGGUAAUAUUAUUGGAAAUUUGAAAUUUAUAUCAUUUUUGAGGAAUGUCAAGCUGAUGUUUGGUGAAAUAAAAUUCUAUAAAUUA